rnacentral:lncRNA from 1 species
CUGCUCCGGUACACACCUGCCCCGUGCACUGCUGCUCCAAUACACACCUACUCCCAUGCACUGCUGGUCCCAUGCACACCUACCCCUGUGCACUGCUGCUCCAAUACACACCUACCCCUGUGCACCGCUGCUCCAAUACACACCUACCCCUGUGCACUGCUGCUCCAAUACACACCUACCCCCGUGCACCGCUGCUCCAAUACACACCUACCCCCGUGCACCGCUGCUCCAAUACACAGCUACCCUCUCUGCACCACUGCUCCAAUACACACCUACCCCCGUGCACCGCUGCUCCAAUACACACCUACCCCCGUGCACCGCUGCUCCAAUACACACCUACCCCCGUGCACCGCUGCUCCAAUACACACCUACCCUGUGCACCGCUGCUCCAAUACACAGCUACCCCCUGUGCACCGCUGCUCCAAUACACACCUACCCCCGUGCACCGCUGCUCCAAUACACACCUACCCCCGUGCACCGCUGCUCCAAUACACAGCUACCCCCUGUGCACCGCUGCUCCAAUACACACCUACCCUGUGCACCGCUGCUCCCAUGCACACUUACCCUGUGCACCGCUGCUCCCAUGCACACCUACCCCUGUACACCGCUGCUCCAAUACACACCUACCCUGUACACCACUGCUCCCAUGCACACCUACCCCUGUGCACCGCUGCUCCAAUACACACCUACCCCCGUGCACCGCUGCUCCCAUGCACAACUACCCCUGUGCACCGCUGCUCCAAUACACACCUACCCUGUGCACCGCUGCUCCAAUACACACCUACCCUGUGCACCGCUGCUCCAAUACACACCUACCCUGUGCACCGCUGCUCCAAUACACACCUACCCUGUGCACCGCUGCUCCAAUACACACCUACCCCCAUGCACCACUGCUCCAGUACACACCUACCCUGUGCACCGCUGCUCCAAUACACACCUACCCUGUGCACCGCUGCUCCCAUGCACACUUACCCCCGUGCACCGCUGCUCCAAUACACACCUACCCCCGUGCACCGCUGCUCCAAUACACACCUACCCCCGUGCACUGCUGCUCCAAUACACACCUACCCCCGUGCACCGCUGCUCCUAUGCAAACUACCCCUGUGCACCACUGCUCCAUACACACCUACCCUGUGCACCGCUGCUCCAAUACACACCUACCCCCGUGCACCGCUGCUCCCAUGCACACCUACCCUGUGCACCGCUGCUCCAAUACACACCUACCCCUGUGCACCGCUGCUCCAAUACACACCUACCCUGUACACCACUGCUCCCAUGCACACCUACCCCUGUGCACCGCUGCUCCAAUACACACCUACCCCCGUGCACCGCUGCUCCAAUACACACCUACCCUGUGCACCGCUGCUCCAUACACACUACCCUGUGCACCGCUGCUCCAUACCACCUACCCCGUGCACCGCUGCUCCAAUACACACCUACCCUGUGCACCGCUGCUCCAAUACACACCUACCCUGUGCACCGCUGCUCCCAUGCACACCUACCCUGUGCACCACUGCUCCAAUACACACCUACCCCUGUGCACCCUGCUCCAUACACACCUACCCGUGCACGCUGCUCCAAUGCAACUACCCUGUGCACGCUGCUCCAAUACACACCUACCCCUGCACCCUGCUCCAUACAACUACCCCGUGCACCGCUGCUCCAAUACACACCUACCCUGUGCACGCUGCUCCAAUACACACCUACCCUGUGCACGCUGCUCCAUACAACUACCCCUGCACCACUGCUCCAAUACACACCUACCCCUGUGCACCGCUGCUCCCAUGCACACCUACCCUGUGCACCGCUGCUCCAAUACACACCUACCCCCAUGCACCGCUGCUCCAAUACACACCUACCCCUGUGCACCACUGCUCCAAUGCACACCUACCCCUGUGCACCACUGCUCCCAUGCACACAUGCUCCCAGACACAUCUGUCCCAAAGACUGAC